AUUGAACGCUGGCGGCAGGCCUAACACAUGCAAGUCGAACGAGUGGCGGACGGGUGAGUAAUGUCUGGGAAACUGCCUGAUGGAGGGGGAUCACUACUGGAAACGGUAGCUAAUACCGCAUACCAUCGGAUGUGCCCAGAUGGGAUUAGCUAGUAGGUGGGGUAAAGGCUCACCUAGGCGACGAUCCCUAGCUGGUCUGCGAGGCUGACCAGCCAAAAUGGAACGGAUACACGGUCCAGACUCCUACGGGAGGCAGCAGUGGGGAAUAUUGCACAAUGGGCGCAAGCCUGAUGAAGCCAUGCCGCGUGGAGGAAGAAGGCCUUCGGGUUGUAAAGUACUUUCAGCGGGGAGGCGUUACCCGCAGAAGAAGCACCGGCUAACUCCGUGCCAGCAGCCGCGGUAAUUC
rnacentral:rRNA from 1 species